CCCCCUCCGCGCGUACUGCGGGCCCCACGGGUGUUAGUGGCGGGGGCGGCAGAGUCCGGGUGGGUUGUCGCGACGGAGCCGGGCCUCUUCGCCGUCUUGAGACGGGGCUGGCGAGAAGGGCCCCUCACGGAGUUGCCAUGGGCGUCUAACCGCGGCAGCCAGGCCCCUCUCUACGUGAGACCCCGGCCCCCCUCCCCUUUCUGCAGCCCGCCCGCCACCUGCGCGCCGCGUGGCCUCCGCCGGCGCCUGCCCGCCCCGCGCCUCCGUCUCCCACGGAGCAGGCCGGGCUCUCGCCAUGGGUCACUGUCGCCUCUGCCACGGGAAGUUUUCCUCGAGAAGCCUGCGCAGCAUCUCCGAGAGGGCGCCUGGAGCGAGCAUGGAGAGGCCAUCCGCAGAGGAGCGCGUGCUCGUACGGGACUUCCAGCGCCUGCUUGGUGUGGCUGUCCGCCAGGACCCCACCUUGUCUCCGUUUGUCUGCAAGAGCUGCCACGCCCAGUUCUACCAGUGCCACAGCCUUCUCAAGUCCUUCCUGCAGAGGGUCAACGCCUCCCCGGCUGGUCGCCGGAAGCCUUGUGCAAAGGUCGGUGCCCAGCCCCCAACAGGGGCAGAGGAGGGAGCGUGUCUGGUGGAUCUGAUCACAUCCAGCCCCCAGUGCCUGCACGGCUUGGUGGGGUGGGUGCAUGGACAUGCGGCCAGCUGCGGGGCCCUGCCCCACCUUCAGAGGACACUGUCCUCCGAGUACUGCGGCGUCAUCCAGGUCGUGUGGGGCUGCGACCAGGGCCACGACUACACCAUGGAUACCAGCUCCAGCUGCAAGGCCUUCUUGCUGGACAGUGCGCUGGCAGUCAAGUGGCCAUGGGACAAAGAGACGGCGCCACGGCUGCCCCAGCACCGAGGGUGGAACCCUGGGGAUGCCCCUCAGACCUCCCAGGGUAGAGGGACAGGGACCCCAGUUGGGGCUGAGACCAAGACCCUGCCCAGCACGGAUGUGGCCCAGCCUCCUUCGGACAGCGACGCGGUGGGGCCCAGGUCGGGCUUCCCACCUCAGCCAAGCCUGCCCCUUUGCAGGGCCCCAGGGCAGUUGGGUGAGAAGCAGCUUCCAUCUUCAACCUCGGAUGAUCGGGUAAAAGACGAGUUCAGUGACCUUUCUGAGGGAGACGUCUUGAGUGAAGAUGAAAAUGACAAGAAGCAAAAUGCCCAGUCUUCGGACGAGUCCUUUGAGCCUUACCCAGAAAGGAAAGUCUCUGGUAAGAAGAGUGAAAGCAAAGAAGCCAAGAAGUCUGAAGAACCAAGAAUUCGGAAGAAGCCGGGACCCAAGCCCGGAUGGAAGAAGAAGCUUCGUUGUGAGAGGGAGGAGCUUCCCACCAUCUACAAGUGUCCUUACCAGGGCUGCACGGCCGUGUACCGAGGCGCUGACGGCAUGAAGAAGCACAUCAAGGAGCACCACGAGGAGGUCCGGGAGCGGCCCUGCCCCCACCCUGGCUGCAACAAGGUUUUCAUGAUCGACCGCUACCUGCAGCGCCACGUGAAGCUCAUCCACACAGCUGUGAUGGUUUCACAUUGUCAUCGUCGUCCCCCCGGGAGGUUGGAGCAUCAGGGGCCUGGACUCACUGGACUCUCCCCUCUCAGAGGUGCGGAACUAUAUCUGUGACGAAUGUGGACAAACCUUCAAGCAGCGGAAGCACCUUCUCGUCCACCAAAUGCGACAUUCGGGAGCCAAGCCUUUGCAGUGUGAGGUCUGUGGGUUCCAGUGCAGGCAGCGGGCAUCCCUCAAGUACCACAUGACCAAACACAAGGCUGAGACUGAGCUGGACUUUGCCUGUGACCAGUGUGGCCGGCGGUUUGAGAAGGCCCACAACCUCAAUGUACACAUGUCCAUGGUGCACCCGCUGACACAGACCCAGGACAAGGCCCUGCCCCUGGAGGCGGAACCACCACCUGGGCCACCGAGCCCCUCUGUGACCACAGAGGGCCAGGCGGUGAAGCCCGAACCCACCUGAGGACGGCAGUGAGGAUGAGCACCUCUAGCAGCCUGGACUCCGCAGUGGCUGUGUCAGCCUCACCCUUCGUGUGCACCCGCAUGGGAGGGUCGGAGGGUGCUGCCCGCCCUUGGUGCUGGAGGCGGGCUUGGUGUCCGGCUCAAGUAGCCUUCCUCUGCUCUGGGACCAGUGGUUUAUUUUCCCGCAAACGCUGAGUGACUCGGGGCCGGACAGUUCAUAAAUAAUUGAUUCCUUUCCCCACUAAAGCAGUCGAGGAGAUUUGUAAUCCACUUUUUAGUGCAACAAGAGCUCCAUGUUAUGCUUGUAAUAAAUUAUUUACACGGGAGCUGGGCUGGUGUGCAGUGGCAGGUCCCGUCAGAAGAGAUGAGGCUCCUGGGACAGGUCAGCGUCAGGGGCAGCCUGCUGUCUGCUCUGGAGGGCGGCGCUCACCUCUGGGUCGCAGUCCCCACGAUCAGCCAGCAGCUGUGAGAGAGGAGCAGGUCCUCAGCCCAUGCCGCCCACUAGGCCUCAGACCACAGGGGAGGGGCUCUGGCAGAAAUAGUCGAGUUGUAUUGCCAGCCAGGCAGGCACAUGGCCCAGGCAGCUGUCAAUUCUCAUGUCCCCCACAUGGCCCAAGGUGGGCAUCUUGACGUUACCUCUGCCACGUGUGAGAAGCUCUUUUUCGGGCACCGAGGUAUUAACUGCAGCAGAAAAAGACGAGCUUUUGUUAUCAGUUCCACGGGGUUGCCCUAGAGAGAAAACAGGCAAACUCACAGGUUAGAAGACAUACAGAAACAGGGCUGGUGUGUCCCCCAUAGUCUGCAUGCUGUGCCGGAACAUUCUUUGGCAGAAGGAGCCUCCGGCUGGGGGGAGCUCCCCUGGAGGUGGGACUGGCCCUUGCACCUGCCUGACCCUUGAGCUCCAGGCUCCUGCCAGCUGGAGGUGAAACUGUGCUUGUAUCCCCAGCCACGAAGAGCUGGACCAGCUUCAAGUACAUGUCCACAGCAACAUGCAGGAAGGCCUCUUCCCUGAUGGCCGCGUCUUCAUGGAAGUAGGAGAGAAGACUAGAGGUAAAGACAUAGUGACAAAUGGCUACAGACUGCUGGAAAGGUAGCAGGUGAUGCCAAGGGAUACUGCUCAUCUGUGGAGCAGAGGCACAGACAACCCUUCCCAUCUGGCGGGACCCAGAGGUGCUGAGAUGGGGGUCUGGGAAACACUGCCCAGCCCUGACCAGCCCUGUGGGUGGAGGUACCUGUAAAAAGCGAAAGGCAGCAGCCUGGUGUGCUGAUCCGGGGCCACACGGAGGAGGAGCCGCCCCAGCCUGAGGUCUGCAACACCAAGAAGUGGCUCAGGCAACUCUGGACAUCUCUGCCUAUUAUCAGUGCUGGGGACACCCCUGGGGGUCGGGACGUGUACCCUGGGAGGCCUGGCUGUGGGGAUAGUGUGGGGCGAACAGCCUGAGCUGAGGAUACCCAGGUACCUGUCAGCAGCUGGGAGAGGAUGGGGGGGUCGACCUCUUGCAGGAGGGUGGGUGUGGUGCAGAGAGAGGCAGUCCCCAUGAUAGGCCCAUUGGUCCUGGGGUUGACCAGUGAGCCAGUAAAUUAUCUUAUUGCUUUAAACAAGUUUGUGCUUAAUCUGUCCCAACUAAAAUGGAGCUUAUAAACUUACUUAGCAAGGAACCUCAAGGAGGGCUCGUUCUUAACCAUUUGCAAGAUGCCUCUGAAAAGAGCGGCCCUCCGCAUUUGUGCCUCAGCAGCGUGUUUCUUACCACUCUCUGUCAACUGAAAGAGUGCCAGCCAGGAUAUCUUCCUCUUCUCUAAACACUCGAGGAUUGCUGCACAAACGUGGAAAGCCUUUGGCAGGUCUGUGGUGCUCUGUAAACCGCAGGAGACCAACCCUGAGAAUGGCCGACCUGGUGCUCCCAUGGGUAGGAGGGUACAGCCCUCAGCACAGAAGAGGGCAUUUCCUCUUUGCUUAUUGUAAGUCUUAAAACUGGUGACAGUUUUACCUAUAGAAGGUAAUACUGGGCCUCUGGACAGAAGAGGCUCAGGUAGGAGGCCAGGGACUUCGAGCACCCACACCAAGGCUGCUGCACCACGUCCUCAAAUAAGACAUUAAAAGAAAGGCCCACAGGCCGGAUGCAGUGGCUCAUGCCUGUAAUCCCAACACUUUGGGAGGCCGAGGUCGGCGGAUCACUGAGGCCAGUUCAAGACCAGCCUGGCAAUAUGGUGAAACCCCGUCUCUACUAAAAAUACAAAAAUUAGCCGGGUGUGACAGACUCACGCCUGUAAUCCCAGCUACUCGGGAGGCUGAUGCAGGAGAAUUGCUUGAACCCAGGAGGCUGAGGUUGCAGUGAGCUGAGAUCACACCACUGCACUCCAGCCUGGGUGACAGAGUGAGACCCCCAUCUCAAAAAAAAAAAAAAAAAACCCACGGCCUGGGAGUUCUCACUCACACUUCCGCAAACACAAGGAGCUCCUGAGCUAGUCUGGAAACCCUGACUUGGAAGCUGGCUGCCUGGUGCCCCUGCCUGGCCCACAGUGGGAGAGGACACCUUGGCUGGUAAGGUCUGACUUACAUUUGAGGUCAGAUGUGACGACAGCAGGCCCAUCAAGGAGAAGAAGAAAAGGAAAACCAAUAGCUGUAAAUAAAAACGUGCACUUAUUAUUACAUUAAAAUUACCUGUGCUGUCAUUCUAAA